rnacentral:misc_RNA from 1 species
AUUCCCUCGUCACUUCCUUUUAAGAGAAACAUAACUUCAAGUAGAGAUUUAUCUGCCAAUGAGAAAAUGAAAGGUCAGGUAAACAUGUAAACUCUUUAAAUCUUUUUUUCUCGUCUUUCUUGCUUCAUGCAUAUGUUUUGAGCAACAACAGAAACAAAACUUCAGGAGAAAAUUCAGUCACCAAGAACAAAUGAUGGACCAGGUAAAUAAACAAACUCUUUUUCUCUUCUUCUCGUGUCUUCUACCUUAUGCAUAUGUCUC